rnacentral:rRNA from 1 species
CACGAAGUGAGUGGCGAACGGGUGAGUAACACGUGGGUAACCUGCCCAGAAGUAGGGGAUAACACCUGGAAACAGAUGCUAAUACCGUAUAACAGAGAAAACCGCAUGGUUUUCUUUUAAAAGAUGGCUCUGCUAUCACUUCUGGAUGGACCCGCGGCGUAUUAGCUAGUUGGUGAGGUAAAGGCUCACCAAGGCAGUGAUACGUAGCCGACCUGAGAGGGUAAUCGGCCACAUUGGGACUGAGACACGGCCCAGACUCCUACGGGAGGCAGCAGUAGGGAAUCUUCCACAAUGGACGCAAGUCUGAUGGAGCAACGCCGCGUGAGUGAAGAAGGGUUUCGGCUCGUAAAGCUCUGUUGUU